ensembl:snRNA U6 U6 spliceosomal RNA
CUAGGCUGCUCCUAUUAGCCAUAGAUAGAAUAAACUUGGAUGAUACAAGAAGAUUAGUAUGACCCCUUGUAAGGAAGAUAUGCAAAUUCAUGAAACAUUCUAUAUUGUU